UACAGUCUGCAAAACAUGUUCAUGUUCAUUACAACACCAAAAUUCUAAGAAAUAAAUACAGUUAUAAUAGGAAAUUGAAACAAAAAUAUCAUCUUCCUCAUUAUCAGCCGCAAUCUCGAAUAUACAUAAGCAUGAUUUCUUAGCUUUGGAGUGAGGGUGGAUGCCUGGAAUUCAGAAAAAAUAGAGCCUAUGAGUAAGGUUAAGAGAGUAGCAAGACAAAAAAGCAGCAAAUCAGCCAAUGAAAUCCCAGAAAACAACUCAGGAAGUUUGAGAGGGAAAAUAAUAACACUAAAUCUCUAAAGCAGCUCAAUCAAUCGGAAGGGAAAAACACCAAAGAAUUUCUGAAGAAUGUAUAAGAAGCUAAUAUGUAUUUUAGAUAUUCUAGUUCACUAAAAGCUUUAAAGGAAAAGUUUUUCUCGAAAAUCUCAAAGUUCCAGCCCCUUUAAAAUUUCAAAUUGCCCUCUUUUAUAAUUGAAGCAUUAGGGAAACAUUAAUUCCUUUGUUUUCCUUUUAGUCCCUUACCCAAUUUUUAGUUUUACCUAGAUAGUCCAUAGUUUUCUGACUUGUGCCUCAAGUUUGAGGCAGAAAUUAUGCUUAAAUCCCUCACUAGAAUGUUCUAGGAGUUGUUACAGGAUUCUUUAGAUUCAAAUACCCUUUAUACCCUUGUCCCUUUUCCUAAUUACUGACUUAAGGUUCUGUAACCUUGGUUUCCAUUUGUUUAGUCAAAUCUGACCCUAGUUAGUUGCAUUCAAGUUAUGGGUCAAAGUCAAGAUCUGAACUACAGACUUGAUUAUGUAAAAAUAAUCAAAGAAUUUAAGAAUUAAUCAAUGCGACUCAGGUUUCAAACAAGCAUCUUAAUAUGGAUUUUACACUAUUCAGUAACAAAGGAUGAAAACAAUUAUCACAACUUCAGGAUCAUAUGGAUAUUCAUGCAUUUUUUAUAUGUCAAAACCAAUGAAUCAAAACAAUAAGGAAAGGAAACCAAUCAACUAUGCAGGACUUCCUACUCAGCAGAAAACUAAAAGGCAAGUAAUGGGUAUUCAGGAUACACACAAAUGAAAACAAAACUAGUAUCAGAAGUUAAAAAUAUUCAGAAAACUUAGCCUAAUAAAUGCAAAUGAGACGAGAACCAUGAUAGGCAUAAGGUUCUAAAGGAAACCUACCCAGAAUUUCAAACAUGGUAUAAAGCAGAUAACAACAACAAAGAUGAGCAUUUCAGAACAUUCAGAGGUGAACAAACGAUGAGUCAAAAGACAAGGAUAAACAAACCAUUCGGAAUUUCAGAGGUGAAACAAGUGAAGAGUCAAGAGACAAGGAUGAGCAAACCAUUCAGAAUUUAAGAGGUGAAACAAGUGAAAAGUCAAGAGACAAGGAUGAACAUGAUAUCAGACUACUCAGAAGAUCAUAGAAGACAAAUGAAUUCAAACCAGUGACACCCAAGGGAACCAAAAGAAUAUAGCAGGCAAAGAUGACUACUCAACACACUUCAGGAUGAGAUCAUAGAAAACAAGUACAAUCAUAAAGAGCCAAAAGAAUAUAGUAGGCAAAGAUGACUACUCAACACACUUCAGGAUGAGAUCAUAGAAAACAAGUAAAAUUUUAAAGAAAACAACAAUUAAACAAGAAAUAUAUAUACAAAAUAUAAGCAUUGAAGACAUGACACUUAGCGUUUUUGUGCAUGCAACCCUAACUUGGGAUUAUUCCAGUUCCAACAACUCUCCGACCCCUUUUGAGAGGUCUAUUAUUCUUCCAAGGCUUUCGCCCUGAGUAUUGAAAAGGAAAAGCGUUCAGAAUGGUGUUCGUGGAUUCUGAGACCAAGUAAGGUCUCAAAUUUGGUUUUCCUUUGUAAUCAGUUGGGUUUGAGGGUAGUGGGUGGUAGGGUUGGGUAGAAGGAUGGGAGAGAGUCAUUUGAGGCUAAUUUGGCUGGAUUUCGGUGAGUUUCAGGACUUAGGGUUAGUUUUUGAUUCAAGAUUUGAGCCGAUUCGUUAGGAUCUGAAGGAUAUGGUUUGCACGGUUGGAAAGACGAUGGGGAGGUGGUUCAGGGGUAUUGUUUUGGGUUGGUAUGGUGUUGGGUUGCCGGAGGCGGUGGUGCCAGCGAGCCUUCUUUCGAAUAUUCAAGGCGACGGGCACUUGUUCGAAGCAAGCUGACCAUGGGAAGGGAAAGAGGGGGUCGAGGUGGUCUGGUGGUGUAAAGCAGAGGCUGUUUGGUGACCGGCCGCGGCCAUGAGGCGAUUUCUGGCAGCGGCAUUAGGGUGGUUGGUGGGUUGUCAACGGUGGUCUUAUGGCGGUGAAGGGGUGGUGAUACACCGGUGAUGUAUGUACGAGGAAGAUGGCUA
rnacentral:lncRNA from 1 species